rnacentral:rRNA from 1 species
UGGGGAAUAUUGCACAAUGGGCGAAAGCCUGAUGCAGCAACGCCGCGUGAGUGAUGAAGGCCUUCGGGUUGUAAAGCUCUGUCUUCUGGGACGAUAAUGACGGUACCAGAGGAGGAAGCCACGGCUAACUACGUGCCAGCAGCCGCGGUAAUACGUAGGUGGCAAGCGGUGUCCGGAUUUACUGGGCGUAAAGGAUGCGUAGGCGGAUACUUAAGUCAGAUGUGAAAAUCCCGGGCUUAACUUGGGAACUGCAUUUGAAACUGGGUAUCUAGAGUGCGGGAGAGGAGAGUGGAAUUCCUAGUGUAGCGGUGAAAUGCGUAGAGAUUAGGAAGAACACCAGUGGCGAAGGCGACUUUCUGAACUGUAACUGACACUGAGGCAUGAAAGCGUGGGGAGCAAACA